GUCGAGCGGAGUGAUGGUGCUUGCACUAUAUCUUAGCGGCGGACGGGUGAGUAAUGCUUAGGAAUCUGCCAUUUAGUGGGGGACAACAUUCCGAAAGGAAUGCUAAUACCGCAUACGCCCUACGGGGGAAAGCAGGGGAUCUUCGGACCUUGCGCUAAUAGAUGAGCCUAAGUCGGAUUAGCUAGUUGGUGGGGUAAAGGCCUACCAAGGCGACGAUCUGUAGCGGGUCUGAGAGGAUGAUCCGCCACACUGGGACUGAGACACGGCCCAGACUCCUACGGGAGGCAGCAGUGGGGAAUAUUGGACAAUGGGCGAAAGCCUGAUCCAGCCAUGCCGCGUGUGUGAAGAAGGCCUUUUGGUUGUAAAGCACUUUAAGCGAGGAGGAGGCUCUCCUAGUUAAUACUCUAGGAUAGUGGACGUUACUCGCAGAAUAAGCACCGGCUAACUCUGUGCCAGCAGCCGCGGUAAUACAGAGGGUGCGAGCGUUAAUCGGAUUUACUGGGCGUAAAGCGUGCGUAGGCGGCUGAUUAAGUCGGAUGUGAAAUCCCUGAGCUUAACUUAGGAAUUGCAUUCGAUACUGGUCAGCUAGAGUAUGGGAGAGGAUGGUAGAAUUCCAGGUGUAGCGGUGAAAUGCGUAGAGAUCUGGAGGAAUACCGAUGGCGAAGGCAGCCAUCUGGCCUAAUACUGACGCUGAGGUACGAAAGCAUGGGGAGCAAACAGGAUUAGAUACCC
rnacentral:rRNA from 1 species